rfam:Freshwater sediment metagenome lwMethenol_BCHA34009_x1, whole genome shotgun sequence.
UCCCGGGUGACCGGGAAUCUGAAGGAAGCCGUAGGCAAACAUUUGUUGUGACGCACAGAAACCGGAUAUAAGGCCUGUUCUCCUGGGUAACUGACCACUGAAUCAGGAAGCCCGAUAGUCAUUCGGAAAGGAGGGGGGGUAAAUCCGGCGCAAUGAAUGGAAAGAUUUACUAC